UAAAUAGAAGCUAAUUUAGCAAUUAACUGUUAAUUAAUCAUUUACUAUUAUUAUAUAGUCUAUUUAA
rnacentral:tRNA from 1 species